UUCCGGUUGAUCCUGCCGGACCUGACUGCUAUCGGAUUGAUACUAAGCCAUGCGAGUUUUUGUAGUAAUACAAGGCAGACGGCUCAGUAACACGUAGUCAAUCUAACCUAUGGACGAGGAUAACCUCGGGAAACUGAGAAUAAUACUCGAUAGAUCAUUAUGCCUGGAACGGUUUAUGGUUCAAAUGAAUUUCGCCAUAGGAUGGGACUGCGGUCUAUCAGCUUGUUGGUGAGGUAAUGGCCCACCAAGGCUAUUACAGAUACGGGCUCUGAGAGGAGAAGCCCGGAGAUGGGUACUGAGACACGGACCCAGGCCCUAUGGGGCGCAGCAGGCGAGAAAACUUUGCAAUGUGCGAAAGCACGACAAGGUUAAUCCGAGUGAUUCCUGCUAAAGGAAUCUUUUGUUAGUCAUAAUACCACUAAUGAAUAAGGGGUGGGCAAGUUCUGGUGUCAGCCGCCGCGGUAAAACCAGCACCUCAAGUGGUCAGGAUGAUUAUUGGGCCUAAAGCAUCCGUAGCCGGCUUUGUAAGUUUUCGGUUAAAUCUAUAUGCUCAACAUAUAGGCUGCCGGGAAUACUGCAAAGCUAGGGAGUGGGAGAGGUAGACGGUACUCCGUAGGAAGGGGUAAAAUCCUUUGAUCUAUGGAUGACCACCUGUGGCGAAGGCGGUCUACCAGAACACGUUCGACGGUGAGGGAUGAAAGCUGGGGGAGCAAACCGGAUUAGAUACCCGGGUAGUCCCAGCUGUAAACUAUGCAAACUCAGUGAUGCAUUGGCUUGUGGCCAGUGCAGUGCCGCAGGGAAGCCGUUAAGUUUGCCGCCUGGGAAGUACGUACGCAAGUAUGAAACUUAAAGGAAUUGGCGGGGGAGCACCACAAGGGGUGAAGCCUGCGGUUUAAUUGGAGUCAACGCCGGA
rnacentral:rRNA from 1 species